CCCUUAGAUGUUCUGGGCCGCACACGCGCUACACUGAAGGAGGCAGCGUGUACUCCUGGAUCGAAAGAUUUGGGUAACCCGCGAAUCUCCUUCGUGCUAGGGAUUGAGGUUUGCAAUUAUCCUUCAUGAACGAGGAAUUCCCAGUAAGUGCAAGUCAUUAUCUCGCGCUGACUACGUCCCUGCCCUUUGUACACACCGCCCGUCGCUACUACCGAUUGAAUGAUUUAGUGAGGACUUCGGACUGAGUCCAAUGCGGCUUUCGGGCUGCGUUGGUAUUUCGGAAAGAUGUCCAAACUGUAUCAUUUAGAGGAAGUAAAAGUCGUAACA
rnacentral:rRNA from 1 species